rnacentral:misc_RNA from 1 species
GCUGUCAUAGGCGAAACGGCGGUCGCCGGAGAGUUCCGCAAGCGCUUCCACCGUGGUGUCGUUCAUGCCGAGAUUGAGCACGGUGUCCAUCAUGCCGGGCAUCGAGGCGCGGCCGCCGGAACGCACCGACACAAGCAGCGGGUUNNNNNNNNNNCGAUCUUGCCGACCGUGACCAGCGCCUUCUCGACCUGCGCCUUCAGAUCCUUCGGAUAGGUUUUGUCGUUGGCGUAGAAAUACGUGCAGACCGAAGUCGGAAUCGUGAAACCGGGAGGCACCGGCAAACCGAGAUUGGCCAUCUCGGCG